AUACUCUGGUUUCUCUUCAGAUCUAAUAAAGCUUUUGCCUUUACUAAGGAUUCCGUGGAGAGGAACAUCCAUGAGUUUUCAAUAAUUUUUUGAGGCUCUGCCCCUUGCAGGGCU